UGAGGGAAGUAAUUGCACAAAUGGAGGGAAACUCUGAUGCAGCAACGCCGCGUGGAGGAUGACGCAUUUCGGUGUGUAAACUCCUUUUAUGAGUCAAGAAAAUGACGGUAGCUCAUGAAUAAGCACCGGCUAACUCCGUGCCAGCAGCCGCGGUAAUACGGAGGGUGCAAGCGUUAUUCGGAAUCACUGGGCGUAAAGGACGCGUAGGCGGGAAGCCAAGUCUGAUGUGAAAUCCUAUGGCUUAACCAUAGAACUGCAUUGGAAACUGGUUACCUAGAGUAUGGGAGGGGGAGAUGGAAUUAGUGGUGUAGGGGUAAAAUCCGUAGAUAUCACUAGGAAUACCGAAAGCGAAGGCGAUCUCCUGGAACAAUACUGACGCUAAGGCGUGAAAGCGUGGGGAGCAAACG
rnacentral:rRNA from 1 species